rnacentral:lncRNA from 1 species
GCCUUUUUGGCUGACUUGUCUUUGUUGUACCUCUGGUGGGAUUUGCCACGAGGUUUCUCCUCUGGUUUCGUGUCCUUGGCUGCAUGUUAGUUUUAUAGUCAUUGAAAGGACAUUUGAUCCUCUUACCUACAAAUUAUAGAUGGAUCUGGCCAGACCCGACGUAGAUGACGGCAUUCACAGUGUUCAAGAAUGGCCGUCCUAGGAUGGCGGGACGUCGAUGUUUGCCCCCAUGUCGAGGAUG